AGGGCUCUAGCAAAAAUAUAUGAUGGGCCUAAUUUGCCUUUCAAUCCAAGAAUUGGUAGUAUCUCUAUAAAUGAGUAUAUGAGGCGCUAUAGAAUGAUAACGUUCUCGUGCCACAAAUACGUACCUACAACAGGAUCUUGUUGCACAUCUUUGGGCCAAAAGAAGCAUGGAGUAGACUUUUAAGUUUUAUGUUGUUAAAUGUUUUUAAAAAUGUUGUUUAAGUUUCAUGUUGUAUAAUUUGUAUGUUGGUUAAUGUUAUUUAAUGU
rnacentral:lncRNA from 1 species